UAAAAUUUCUAUUUGUGAAAACAGCAGUUUGUGGUAAGGCUGAAUGACAUGUUAUUGUAUUCAUAAUGCAUAUUAGUACUCUUCAGAAUCCCAGUUAAAAUUAUUUUAUGUUUGAUUUUCAGUUCCACUUACUUACAUGAUCAUUUCGAGAGAUGUAAUGUUGAUUGCUGCUGUUUUUUAUGUCAGAUACCGAACUCUUCCAACACCACGAACACUUGCCAAGUAUUUCAAUCCUUGCUAUGCCACUGCUAGGUUAAAACCAACAUUCAUCAGCAAGGUGAAUACAGCAGUCCAGUUAAUCUUGGUGGCAGCUUCUUUGGCAGCUCCAGUUUUCAACUAUGCUGACAGCAUUUAUCUUCAGAUACUAUGGUGUUUUACAGCUUUCACCACAGCUGCAUCAGCUUACAGUUACUAUCAUUAUGGCCGGAAGACUGUUCAGGUGAUAAAAGACUGAUGAAAGUCAUCCCUCACCAUUAGUAAGGAAGCAGUAUACAUCAAUGGGAACAGGGCCCGUGGAAAUCUACAGGAGUUUCCCUAUUUUGGUGUUCAGCUUGAAAAAGGACUUGUCAGAACCAACCAUGUCAUCAAAAUUUAAGUAAUGUGCAUUGAAAAUAAGGUUGAUCAUGGGAAUAUGCAGAAUUUCCAAUGUAUUUUUAAAUACAAAUAAAACUGUAAUUUAGAAUUUUU
rnacentral:sRNA from 1 species